ACCCCUGUGAGAAUGCCCCCCAGUUCCCCGUCCGGGAACAAGGAGCUGGUAUCAGGCACACUUUGAAGCCCACGACGCCUUGCUUAGCCACACCCCCAAGGGAAUUCAGCAGUGACAAACAUUAAGCUAUAAGUGAAAACUUGACUUAGUUAAAGCUAAGAGGGCCGGUAAAACUCGUGCCAGCCACCGCGGUUAUACGAGAGGCCCAAGUUGAUGAACAUCGGCGUAAAGAGUGGUUAAGCUAAAAUUAAAACUAAAGCCGAACGUCCCCAAAGCUGUUAUACGCACCCGGGGGUAAGAAGUUCAACCACGAAGGUGGCUUUAUUAAACCUGAACCCACGAAAGCUACGGCACAAACUGGGAUUAGAUACCCCACUAUGCCUAGCCCUAAACAUUGAUAGAAUUUUACAACCUCUAUCCGCCCGGGGACUACAAGCAUCAGCUUGAAACCCAAAGGACUUGGCGGUGCUUUAGAUCCACCUAGAGGAGCCUGUUCUAGAACCGAUAACCCCCGUUCAACCUCACCCCUCUUUGUUAAUACC
rnacentral:rRNA from 1 species